rnacentral:rRNA from 1 species
UACGUAGGGUGCAAGCGUUGUCCGGAAUCAUUGGGCGUAAAGAGCGUGUAGGCGGCUCGAUAAGUCUGCUGUGAAAGUCCAGGGCUCAACCCUGGAAGGCCGGUGGAAACUGUCGGGCUAGAGUCCGGAAGAGGCGAGUGGAAUUCCCGGUGUAGCGGUGAAAUGCGCAGAUAUCGGGAGGAACACCAAUGGCGAAGGCAGCUCGCUGGGACGGUACUGACGCUGAGACGCGAAAGCGUGGGGAGCAAACAGG